rnacentral:rRNA from 1 species
AUUGAACGCUGGCGGCAGGCCUAACACAUGCAAGUCGAGCGAGCGGCGGACGGGUGAGUAAUGCCUAGGAAUCUGCCUGAUGGAGGGGGAUAACUACUGGAAACGGUAGCUAAUACCGCAUACCAUCAGAUGUGCCAAUAUGGGAUUAGCUUGUUGGUGGGGUAACGGCUCACCAAGGCGACGAUCCCUAGCUGGUCUGAGAGGAUGACCAGCCACACUGGAAAGCAGACACGGUCCAGACUCCUACGGAAGCCAGCAGUGGGGAAGAUUGCACAAUGGGGGCAUGUCAGGUGAAGCCAUGCGGCGUGUAUGAAUAAGGCCUUCGGGUUGUAAAGUACUUUCAGCGGGGAGGCGUUACCCGAAGAAGAAGCACCGGAUAACUCCGUGCCAGCAGCCGCGGUAAUAC